rnacentral:rRNA from 1 species
UACAGAGGGGGCCAGCGUUAUUCGGAAUUAUUGGGCGUAAAGGGCGCGUAGGCGGCCAUGCGUGUCUUCCGUGAAAUCCCUCGGCUUAACCGAGGACGUGCGGAAGAAGCUGCAAGGCUCGAGUCCGGAAGAGGGGGGCGGAAUUCCCAGUGUAGCGGUGAAAUGCGUAGAUAUUGGGAGGAACACCAGUGGCGAAGGCGGUCCCCUGGGCCGGAACUGACGCUGAGGCGCGAAAGCGUGGGUAGCAAACGGG